UUCUAUUUCUUUCCUACAUCCCUCCUCCUCACCCUGCUCUGUGUCUAGAGGAGAGCUGAACACGCAGUAGAUAACCCCCCAAGUCUCUGCUAUCAUCUUUGCCAACAUGACACACUAAUUCCAGGAACCUAAUUUUUUCCAGGAAUCGCUAAGAGUGCUUUUGUUUCCCAACUUUUGUGGGUAGGAAGCUAGUGCUAUAAUAACUAUAUGUCAUAUGACAUCUUUGGAUUCUCUAAAAAGCUGGCAUUAUGCGAGACUUUGAGCCUUGAAGAAACUGUAUCCAUCCCAAUGAGAGGAAGAAAAAUCAUAGUGUGUACGUUGCUUGAAUGAUCCUUUUGGGUUUGGCUGUUACUUACAGAUGAAGGAGACAUUUCCAAGGCUGUAACCAGAGUCAUUCUAAGCACAGUCCUUGCAGCAGUAGAGACAAUCCCAAUGACUACAGGAAAUCCUCAACUGUCAUCCAGAACCUGUAAGCUCAGAACAUACAUCAUAGGAAGGCUGUGAAUUGCUGAAGCACUUCCAUGGCCGACUUUUGCUCCCUGCCUACAUGGGCAAGAAGCUGUAGACUCUGGGAUAAUUUGGAUGAUCCCAGCAUGGGUAUACUCCACUCUGCUUCAUGGCACUUACCAAGGCUGGAGAGAGACCACACCCGUCCCUUCUGUUUUCCAUUGCAUUCCCUUCCCCAAACUUUCCAUCCAGAAAUUCUUCUUUGGUUGACCCUGCCAUAUUGUAUAUUCUUGUUUUUCCCCCACGAUGCAUUUUCUUUCAGUGUCCUUAGAUUCCUAAUAAAUCGAUUAUUUAAACAUAGACAA